rnacentral:rRNA from 1 species
UACGAAGGGGGCUAGCGUUGUUCGGAAUUACUGGGCGUAAAGGGCGCGUAGGCGGUGUGUCAAGUCAGGCGUGAAAGCCCCGGGCUCAACCUGGGAACCGCGCUUGAGACUGGCACGCUAGAGUUCGGGAGAGGAUGGUGGAAUUCCCAGUGUAGAGGUGAAAUUCGUAGAUAUUGGGAAGAACACCGGUGGCGAAGGCGGCCCACUGGAUCGGUACUGACGCUGAGGUGCGAAAGCGUGGGGAGCAAACAGG